rnacentral:rRNA from 1 species
CACGUAGGGCGCAAGCGUUGUCCGGAAUUAUUGGGCGUAAAGAGCUCGUAGGCGGUCUGUUGCGUCCGCUGUGAAAACCCGGGGCUUAACCCUGGGCUGGCAGUGGAUACGGACAGACUAGAGGUAGGUAGGGGAGAAUGGAAUUCCCGGUGUAGCGGUGAAAUGCGCAGAUAUCGGGAGGAACACCGGUGGCGAAGGCGGUUCUCUGGGCCUUACCUGACGCUGAGGCACGAAGGUCAGGGGAGCAAACGGG